rnacentral:rRNA from 1 species
GAUGAACGCUGGCGGCAUGCCUAACACAUGCAAGUCGAUCGGUAAGGCUCUUCGGAGUACACGAGAGGCGGACGGCUGAGUAACGCGUAGGAACACACCCAGCAGUGAGGGAUAAGACACCGAAAGGUGUUCUAAUACCGCAUACGGUCUUCGGAUUAAAGCAUUUAUGCGCUGAAGGAGUGGCCUGCGUCAUAUUAGAUAGUUGGUGAGGUAAUGGCUCACCAAGUCGAUGAUGUGUAGCUGGUCUGAGAGGAUGAUCAGCCAGACUGGAACUGAGACACGGUCCAGACUCCUACGGGAGGCAGCAGUGAGGAAUAUUUCACAAUGAGCGAAAGCUUGAUGGAGCAAUGCCGCGUGCAGGAUGAAGGCCCUCGGGUUGUAAACUGCUUUUAUAAGAGAAGAUUAUGACGGUAACUUAUGAAUAAGGGACGGCUAACUACGUG